rnacentral:lncRNA from 1 species
UUUUUUUUUUUUUUAUCUACUGACAAGUUGCUCUAGUAACCCAAAGAAAUGAAAGAGAAAGCAGCUGCCUCGCCACCCAGAUAUGGACUUGUUCAGAUGUUUCAAUGCUUCAUGAUGCAAUAAAACCACGAAAAUUUUCUUCAAAAUAGAAAAGCAUAAGAGGUGAUUGAUGGAUAUGUUAAUUAACUUAAUUGUGGUAAUCAUUUCACAAUAUAUAAUUACAUCAAAUCAUGUUGAGUGCUUUAAAUAUAUAUUUAAAUAUAUAUAUCUAUAUAUAUCAUAUAUAUAUAAAAGACACACUUUUAUAUAUAUAUAAAGAUAUAUAUAUAUCUUUGUCAAUGAUACACGAAUAUAGCUGAGAAAAAUAAAUUUUUAAAAACUAUCCUCCAUGAAAAAAUAAACAAAAGACAAAAGAUGCCACUUUUUGAGAGGGCGCAGAGAUGAAGACUUUACAACUACAUACACAUGAACUUGCUGGAGGAGUUCCCACUGUGGUGUGAUGGGAUCAGCAGUGUGUCCAGAGCACUAGGACACAGGUUCGUUCCCUGGCCCCGUUAAGGAUUUGGCAUUACCACAGCUGUGGCAUUGAUCCCUGGCCCAGGAACUCCACCUGCCAUGGGGUGGCCAAAAAAAAUUAAAAUAAAAUAAAAAUAAAUUGUAAAUAUAAAUAAAUAAAUAAAAUAAAUAAAUACUAUAGCUAGAAAGUCAUCUGGGAACCAAAUCAGGCCCCCCGUCACUAUCACACCAGUGUCAUUUUGAAAGUCCCUACCUCACAUUCUCAGAUAGGUGACUUACACAAAAUCGGUACUCACUCAAUGUUUUUUUUAAUAUCAUCAUCAAGUCCAAACUUCUCAAAUUGUACACUUAACAACUGGACAUGUCUUUCAUGGCAUGUCAAUAGUGCCUCAAUACGUCUGUUUUUAAAAAAGAGGUUCAAUUACUCAACGUCUCAUUGUUUGGAAAAAAACAUAUUUAAUAAAUCAAACACCCCUAGUACAUAAUAAAAACAACCAUCAUGUUUGCUCCCCAUAAAGAGCCCUGGUAAGGAACAUGAAUGGGGAGAGAGGCCUGUACCCACACCAAAGGGGCAGGAAAAACAGAUGCAUGCUAAUAACCCAAGACAGGAUGUAAUAAGUGCCAAGUGAGUACUCCCAACAGCACAGGCUGCAGGAGUAGUGACUGCCGACUGUAUUCGCUUAGGGGGAAACCCACCAUUUCACCAUUUUAAAUACAGACUCUGCAUUCCUCUCACAGUCCCGGCAUUUGGAUUCCCAGAGCGUCACCCAUUCCUGACCACGCAUGUGGGCCUGGCCGUUGUGUCACCAAGCAACAACCCUCGCUUCUGGUACUCCUGGUCUCACCCCCAGGCCAAGAAAGGGAAAACCAGCACAACUAGACAAACUUUAGAAUCGAAUAACACAGAUGAAAUUGCCCACAGAGUUCAAUGGGGCGUUAACCACAGGGAUAGACACUAAAACCCAAACAGAUCUGAUUGGCCUCAAUUAGAUGCAUAAAUUCCUACCUGGGCACUCUGAGAAUGUCAUGGCUUGGUUUAUGGAUAAAUAUAAUGGGACCAAUUUCUAAAUGGCAAUUUAAAAUACCACCUGGCUAAAGCCUAGAAUAACUACAUUGCCCUAGAUCCUCCAUCACGAUUACAUGAGACAAAUGAAAAGUGCUUAGAGUAAGAACGGAGGAAAGCGCUAUGUUUUUAAAAAGGACAUUUCAUGGGUUGUCAUACCUACGUUCCUGGAAGUUUACAAUGUCUAAGGUCUAACACAGGGGCUGGAGCACAGCAGUAGUCAACAGACGUCUGUUGAGUGGAAGAACAAAUAUGAUGUAUAAGAAUAUCAGAGUGUCUUGGGCAAAGCUCUGUUUUAUGUGUAUUUGAUUUUUGUCAUAAGCAACUUGGGACAGCGUUUCUUAUGGAGUUUCACCAGUCGAAAUGUGUAAGGCUGUUGGAAAGUCUCUAUGCUAUGGCCAUGUGUUCAAAGGUUUUUCUCCUCUCCGGAAAAUGAUUCAACAGCAAGAUGCCUUGGCCAUGUGUGUGUGUACAUAUCUGACGGUGUGUGAGCUCCGGUUCAGGGGCAGAAGUGGGCGUGCUUUAUCAGACUGUCUUUAUUUUACUUUCCCAGUUUGGCUCUCCAUGUCCUGAGCAUGUAAACAGCCCGACUUCAGCAUUUAACCCUGGGCACUGUAAACUAUCCGUCUAUAGCACAGGUUUGAGCCUAAAGGACCAGGGGGAGCAUCCCUCCCGUAUAUUAGCUCAUAUUUGGGAUAUCAGGAGCACGAUCCUUUUUUUCCAUUCUCCCUCCCAGGAGGGGGAGAGAGGGGCCCAUUCUAUCAGCCUGAACACACCAGAAUCUCCUCACUUGGAAAGAACAAAUCUUGCAGCGAGACUUCCUGCAAUGCCUGGCCCUCACCAUUCAGACUCCACCAACUGGCUGCAGCCUCUGGAGACUUAGAGCCCCACUACCAACCAAGCCCUCAUUUUUUGUCUAGUGACUUUUAUUGUUUCUGGAACAGCCAGCACCAAGUCUGUGAACACCAGGUUCAAACCUGUACCCUCACCCUUCAUCCCAACCCGCACCUGUUAAUCUCUGAUUCCAUCUCUGUGCCUCUCUCUCUCAAUAGUUAUCAGAAUCUCUCUCCAAAUCCUCUCUUCACAUGGAGAGAUGUUAAACCUCUUCAACAUCUAAGAGCACAGAAGGAAAGUGUGGGAAAUAGACAGAGCCUGGAUCUGGAAAAAAGACUUCUCAUGACCUUUGCCCUUUAAGGACUUCACCUUCAUGUUGCAUGGUCACCAGGUCAGAGCUGGAAAGGCUGAGCUGAGCCAGCCUCUCUGUCCCAGCUGGCAGGAACCCAGUUGAAGGAAGGCAGAGUGCCUACAUAAGUCAAUCAACAAACCCAUAGCAAGGGCUCAUGUAUACCCACAGGCCCCAGGCUUCCUGUUCUUGGUGGUCACCUGCUCCCUGACCCCUUCCUCUUCUAAGUAUUCCAUGUCUGUCCCAAUCCACCCCAUCUUUCAACCUAGUUCCACUUCUCCAAGAAAGACCUCCCUGACUGUUACAGCCCGUAUACCAUGAGCUUGACCCUCUUAGAUCUACAGGGCUUCCUGUCUGCAUCACAUACUUCGCACUGAUUACAAAUGGACUUAGAUUUUAAUAUAUGUGCACUUUCCCCCCAAAAUGGAUUGCAAAUACCGAGGGCAGAGUUUUCCCUAGCAAAACUACCUUUUGCAUAUUAGACAUGCUAUUUAAAAAAAUAUGAAUUAAUGUGGAAUAAAGAUGAGGUAGGGGCCUGUGCAAAUACUGUGUUUUUCCUUUGGACCUAAUGUGUACGCCUGUAGUUGAGUGUUUACAGCAAGAGAUUGUCUAUGGCAGUCCAGGCACAGAUGCUAUUGUAGUCAUGUUGCCAUUUGCUGCUUGCAUAUUUAUGAAAAAUUAUCCUUUCAGGAUGAAAUUUUCCAUGACUGGCUUCUGACCCAAAAUCAGGGUGUUUCUCUCUCUCUCUCUUUUUUUUUUUUCUUUUGGAAAAUUUGAACAAUAUCCAGUCAGCCAUGUAGAAGUUGGGCAUUAGUGAAAAAAAAACAAGGACAUGUUUUGUCUUUCAAAAUCGAUGUAAGCCUUUCUUUUGCGUGACCAAUUAAAGAACAACUAAACUUCAAAAUGAGAAACUUUCCACUUGUCUUAGGCCUCAUCAAGGAUGAACCUUGAUGAUAAUGAGAUAAUGGAAUGAGAAUAAAGCAGAAACAGUUGAAAUUUGUCUCUCUUCAUUUUACUUGCACUAAGUUUCACAAAUGCCCACAGAUGCAUGACU